rnacentral:lncRNA from 1 species
ACGGCGAAGGAUUUUUAAAUCUGGUCCGAUUCCUGUUGCAUUACUUCUACAACUCCUGGGUGUUCGAGUUUGAUUUGGAUUUACAGAAAUUGAAGCUGCAUUUUGUUGAUUUGGUUCUCGCUGAGUUCCAGCUCUUCAUUCGCCUUUAUUUGGUUAUUCAAGUUUGUCUCUACUGCUGUCUAGAGGUUUUGAAUUCUUGCUUGUCGCCGGCGAUUUUUCCGGCAACCCCUGCUCUUUUCUUUCUAUUCUCUCUUCUGGUGUGUGUGGGUGUGUUCUGUUUU